AAGCUGAGUGACAACACUUAGGAGUGGCUGCUGCUAAAUCUGGCUCAUGAAACUCAUGGGUUACAGAAACAAAAUUAGCUACAAAUUCAAGAUAUGAUGUAUACCAGUAUUUAGAGGGACUUGAUAUCAAGGUGUAUCCUUAUAGCAAGAGUAAAGGAUCAUGAAGACACAAGUAGGAGUGUUGCUGGGCCUCCUGUGGAUACAAAUUUGCUGGGUAGGAGCGCAGGUGAAGGUGGAGCAGAGUCCUGGCGUGCUCAUCCUCCAGGAGGGGAGCAAUUCCUCUCUGAUGUGCAAUUAUUCCACCUCCGUGAGCAGUGUGCAGUGGUUCCAACAAAAUCCCGGAGGACCCCUUAUAGCUUUAUUUUACAUGACCUCUAAACCGCAGGAAAAAGGAAGAUUAAAAUCCACAAUCAGUACCAAGGACCGUUACAGCCACCUCUACAUCAGAGACUCUCAGCCUGGGGACUCAGCCACUUACUUCUGUGCGGUGGAGCACAGUGCUCUCCUGACACCUGCAGCCUCUACAGAAACCAGAGCUGAAGACCUAACCCAACCCCCAGAGGGAGAGCAGGGGCCCAGUGUAAUUAGAAUUGUAUUCCUAUUGUCUUGCAUCUCCUGACUUAUGCAGAAGGCA